rnacentral:rRNA from 1 species
UGCUGCUUCGCUGACGAGUGGCGGACGGGUGAGUAAUGUCUGGGAAACUGCCUGAUGGAGGGGGAUAACUACUGGAAACGGUGGCUAAUACCGCAUAACGUCGCAAGACCAAAGAGGGGGACCUUCGGGCCUCUUGCCAUCAGAUGUGCCCAGAUGGGAUUAGCUUGUUGGUGAGGUAACGGCUCACCAAGGCGACGAUCCCUAGCUGGUCUGAGAGGAUGACCAGCCACACUGGAACUGAGACACGGUCCAGACUCCUACGGGAGGCAGCAGUGGGGAAUAUUGCACAAUGGGCGCAAGCCUGAUGCAGCCAUGCCGCGUGUAUGAAGAAGGCCUUCGGGUUGUAAAGUACUUUCAGCGGGGAGGAAGGUGUUGUGGUUAAUAACCGCAGCAAUUGACGUUACCCGCAGAAGAAGCACCGGCUAACUCCGUGCCAGCAGCCGCGGUAAUACGGAGGGUGCAAGCGUUAAUCGGAAUUACUGGGCGUAAAGCGCACGCAGGCGGUCUGUCAAGUCGGAUGUGAAAUCCCCGGGCUCAACCUGGGAACUGCAUUCGAAACUGGCAGGCUUGAGUCUUGUA